GGCUCAGGAUGAACGCUGGCGGCGUGCUUAACACAUGCAAGUCGAACGGGGUGCUCAUGACGGAGGAUUCGUCCAACGGAUUGAGUUACCUAGUGGCGGACGGGUGAGUAACGCGUGAGGAACCUGCCUUGGAGAGGGGAAUAACACUCCGAAAGGAGUGCUAAUACCGCAUGAUGCAGUUGGGUCGCAUGGCUCUGACUGCCAAAGAUUUAUCGCUCUGAGAUGGCCUCGCGUCUGAUUAGCUAGUAGGCGGGGUAACGGCCCACCUAGGCGACGAUCAGUAGCCGGACUGAGAGGUUGACCGGCCACAUUGGGACUGAGACACGGCCCAGACUCCUACGGGAGGCAGCAGUGGGGAAUAUUGGGCAAUGGGCGCAAGCCUGACCCAGCAACGCCGCGUGAAGGAAGAAGGCUUUCGGGUUGUAAACUUCUUUUGUCGGGGACGAAACAAAUGACGGUACCCGACGAAUAAGCCACGGCUAACUACGUGCCAGCAGCCGCGGUAAUACGUAGGUGGCAAGCGUUAUCCGGAUUUACUGGGUGUAAAGGGCGUGUAGGCGGGAUUGCAAGUCAGAUGUGAAAACUGGGGGCUCAACCUCCAGCCUGCAUUUGAAACUGUAGUUCUUGAGUGCUGGAGAGGCAGUC
rnacentral:rRNA from 1 species